UAGGGGAUCUUCCGCAAUGGGCGAAAGCCUGCCGGAGCAACGCCGCGUGAGUUAUGAAGGUCUUCGGAUCGUAAAACUCUGUUAUUAGGGAAGAACAAAUGUGUAAGUAACUAUGCACGUCUUGACGGUACCUAAUCAGAAAGCCACGGCUAACUACGUGCCAGCAGCCGCGGUAAUACGUAGGUGACAAGCGUUAUCCGGAAUUAUUGGGCGUAAAGCGCGCGUAGGCGGUUUUUUAAGUCUGAUGUGAAAGCCCACGGCUCAACCGUGGAGAGUCAUUGGAAACUGGAAAACUUGAGUGCAGAAGAGGAAAGUGGAAUUCCAUGUGUAGCGGUGAAAUGCGCAGAGAUAUGGAGGAACACCAGUGGCGAAGGCGACUUUCUGGUCUGUAACUGACGCUGAUGUGCGAAAGCGUGGGGAUCAAACAGG
rnacentral:rRNA from 1 species